CACAAGCCCCCGGGGAGCGCAGGAGCGCUGAGAGUGCGGCCGGACACCACGUCCCACCCGCAGACCCGUGGAACCUGACCUGGUUCGCACCAGCGUAGGGAGCAGGGCGUGCGUCGCCGG
rnacentral:ncRNA from 2 species